GUUUGAUUAUGGCUCAGGAUGAACGCUGGCGGCAUGCCUAAUACAUGCAAGUCGAACGGAGUGAAGCCUUCGGGUUUCAUUCAGUGGCGAACGGGUGAGUAAUACGCAGGGAACCUGGCCAUGGCAGGGGGAUACACUCUGGAAACGGAGCAUAAGACCCCAUAGGCAGUAAGGCGGCAUCGCCUUACUGUUAAAGAAAGCUGAAAGGCUUUGGCGAUGGAUGGACCUGCGGUGCAUUAGCUUGUUGGUGAGGCAACGGCUUACCAAGGCGAUGAUGCAUAGCCGGCCUGAGUGGGCGGACGGCCACACUGGGACUGAGACACGGCCCAGACUCCUGCGGGAGGCAGCAGUAGGGGAAUUUUCGUCAAUGGGCGCAAGCCUGAACGAGCAAUGCCGCGUGAGUGAGGAAGGNUCUUCGGACUGUAAAGCUCUGUUGCCGGGGAAAAAAGGGGAAAUGCAGGAAAUGGCAUUUCAUGGAUGGUACCCGGCCAGAAAGCCACGGCUAACUACGUGCCAGCAGCCGCGGUAAUACGUAGGUGGCGAGCGUUAUCCGGAAUGAUUGGGCGUAAAGGGUGCGCAGGCGGUCUGUUAAGUCUGAAGGCAAAGGGAAGAGCUCAACUCUUCUUUGAUUCAGAAACUGGCAGACUUGAGGACAGGAGAGGGCGGUGGAACUCCAUGUGUAGCGGUAAAAUGCGCAGAGAUAUGGAAGAACACCAGUGGCGAAGGCGGCCGCCUGGCCUGUGACUGACGCUGAGGCACGAAAGCGUGGGGAGCAAAUAGGAUUAGAUACCCUAGUAGUCCACGCCGUAAACGAUGAGGAGCAGGUGUUGGGAGUGAAAUCUCAGUGCCGAAGCCAACGCAGUGACUCCUCCGCCUGGGGAGUAUGCACGCAAGUGUGAAACUCAAAGGAAUUGACGGGGGCCCGCACAAGCGGUGGAGUAUGUGGUUUAAUUCGAAGCAACGCGAAGAACCUUACCAGGUUUUGACAUCGGAUGCGAAGGCGCAGAGAUGCGCUGGAGGCUAUCAUCCAGACAGGUGGUGCAUGGUUGUCGUCAGCUCGUGUCGUGAGAUGUUCACUUAAGUCUGGCAACGAGCGCAACCCCCGUGGUAUGUUACUAACGCAUUUGGGCGAGGACUCAUAUCAGACUGCCGGUGACAAACCGGAGGAAGGCGGGGAUGACGUCAAAUCAUCAUGCCCCUUAUGACCUGGGCUACACACGUACUACAAUGGCGUCUACAGAGGGAAGCGACCCUGAGAAGGGAAGCGAAACCGGAAAAGGGCGUCCCAGUUGGGAUUGAAGUCUGCAACCCGACUUCAUGAAGAUGGAAUCGCUAGUAAUCGCGGAUCAGCAUGCCGCGGUGAAUACGUUCCCGGCCCUUGUACACACCGCCCGUCAAACCAUGGAAGCCGGCAACGCCCGAAGCCGGUGGCAUAACCUUUUAGGAGUGAGCCGUGGAAGGCGGGGCCGAUGACUGGGGUUAAGUCGUAACAAGGU
rnacentral:rRNA from 1 species